CGAAGGUGGAGAAGAUGUAUUUGUUCACUUCUCAGCUAUUCAAGGUGAAGGUUUUAAAUCCUUGGAUGAAGGUCAAGAAGUGACUUUUGAUAUCGAACAGGGACAACGUGGACCACAAGCGACAAACGUAAAUAAAGCAUAAGAAACCAUACUAAAAAACAGACUCUAUUUUCAGAGUCUGUUUU
rnacentral:sRNA from 1 species